UCAUCGAAGAUCAGAAGAGGAGGCAGAUUCUCGUGAAGGAUCAGAGAGACGACAGAGCCAGAGUCCUUGCUGUAGAGUGGGAAGUGGGGAAAGCAAAGAUCAUUGCCGAGAGAGAUCAUUACAUGGCUGAGAGAGAUCAUUACUUCAGGCAGAUGAAGAUCCAUCAGAAGGAGGUGGGGAGAUUACAGCAGGAGAACACCGAGCUCAGGUUCGCCGCAGAAUUCGCGAAGAUGGAAGCUGAGAUAUGGCCAUCUGUGGGACCCUCAUCAGGAUAGCUUUUCAUUUGUGUUGGAUUACCGUCAGGCUUGUUGACGGAAUUCAUUUUGCUUGUAUUUCUUUCCCGAUUCUAGAGAUUUGUAUCUGAUUUGAUGUAUGACUAUGGCACUUAUUGUGCAUUUUGCUAUGUAAUGGUUUGUUUUCAUUCA
rnacentral:lncRNA from 1 species